UGCAGAAGCGGGAAUGCUCCCAUAAGACGAGAAGACCCUAUGGAGCUUUAGACAUCAAGCAGCCCACAAAAACAACCCAUACCAGUGGCCAUAGAACAACGUGGAACCCUGCUGAACUGUCUUCGGUUGGGGCGACCGUGGGAUAUAAAAAACCUCCCAUGAGGACCGGGAAAACCUUCCCAAAACCAAGGGCUACCGCCCUAAGCAACAGAAACUCUGACCUUCAUGAUCCGGCCUACCGGCCGAUCAACGGACCGAGUUACCCUAGGGAUAACAGCGCAAUCCCCUCCUAGAGCCCCCAUCGACGAGAGGGUUUACGACCUCGAUGUUGGAUCAGGACAUCCUAAUGGUGCAGCCGCUAUUAAGGGUUCGUUUGUUCAACGAUUAAAGUCCU
rnacentral:rRNA from 1 species